CGUGUAGGCGGCCAAGCAGGUCUGUUGUGAAAACUGGAGGCUCAACCUCCAGACGUCGACAGAAACCGCGUGGCUAGAGUCCGGAAGAGGAGAGUGGAAUUCCUGGUGUAGCGGUGAAAUGCGCAGAUAUCAGGAAGAACACCAAUGGCGAAGGCAGCUCUCUGGGACGGUACUGACGCUGAGAGCGAAAGCGUGGGGAGCGAACA
rnacentral:rRNA from 1 species